UGGGGAAUCUUGCGCAAUGCGCGAAAGCGUGACGCAGCAACGCCGCGUGAGGGAAGAAGGCCUUCGGGUUGUAAACCUCUUUCAGGAGGGACGAAGGUUCAGGCGCGAACAGCGACCUGAACUGACGGUACCUCCAGAAGAAGCCCCGGCUAACUACGUGCCAGCAGCCGCGGUAAUACGUAGGGGGCUAGCGUUGUCCGGAAUCAUUGGGCGUAAAGCGCGCGUAGGCGGCCCGGUAAGUCCGCUGUAAAAGUCAAAGGCUCAACCUUUGAAUGUCAGUGGAUACUGCCGGGCUAGAGUCCGGAAGAGGCGAGUGGAAUUCCUGGUGUAGCGGUGGAAUGCGCAGAUAUCAGGAGGAACACCAACGGCGAAGGCAGCUCGCUGGGACGGUACUGACGCUGAGGCGCGAAAGCGUGGGGAGCGAACAGG
rnacentral:rRNA from 1 species